AGAAUCAACGCUGGCGGCGUGCCUAACACAUGCAAGUCGAACGAGAAAGUGGAGCAAUCCAUGAGUAAAGUGGCGCACGGGUGAGUAACACGUGACUACCUACCCUUGAGUGGGGGAUAACCUAGGGAAACCUGGGCUAAUACCGCAUAACACCUUCGGGUCAAAGGAGCAAUUCGCUUAAGGAGGGGUCGCGGCCGAUUAGUUAGUUGGCGGGGUAAUGGCCCACCAAGACGGUGAUCGGUAUCC
rnacentral:rRNA from 1 species